rnacentral:lncRNA from 1 species
AGAUGGAGGUGAUGAUGAUGAAAGUUGUUGUUGCUCAUGUUUCUAACAUUUUUUUAUUUUUUGUGUAUGGAGUGGGUGUGAAUGGUUUAUGUAGUGUAUGAUAUAUGGUUGGAAGAAAAAACAUAUGGUGUGUUAUGGGAGCAUGAAGAAGAAAAUGAAAUGGUUUAUUGUGGAGUUGGAAACAAGGGUUGUUUGCUUCAAUAUUC